rnacentral:rRNA from 1 species
GAUGAACGCUGGCGGCGUGCCUAAUACAUGCAAGUCGAGCGAACAGACGAGGAGCUUGCUCCUCUGACGUUAGCGGCGGACGGGUGAGUAACACGUGGAUAACCUACCUAUAAGACUGGGAUAACUUCGGGAAACCGGAGCUAAUACCGGAUAAUAUAUUGAACCGCAUGGUUCAAUAGUGAAAGACGGUUUUGCUGUCACUUAUAGAUGGAUCCGCGCCGCAUUAGCUAGUUGGUAAGGUAACGGCUUACCAAGGCAACGAUGCGUAGCCGACCUGAGAGGGUGAUCGGCCACACUGGAACUGAGACACGGUCCAGACUCCUACGGGAGGCAGCAGUAGGGAAUCUUCCGCAAUGGGCGAAAGCCUGACGGAGCAACGCCGCGUGAGUGAUGAAGGUCUUCGGAUCGUAAAGCUCUGUUAUUAGGGAAGAAAAAAUGUGUAAGUAACUAUGCACGUCUUGACGGUACCUAAUCAGAAAGCCACGGCUAACUACGUG